UCCCUCCCUCUCUCUCUCUCCCUCUUCUUCCCUCUCGAUCUCUAUUCUUGAAGCCAGGAAAUGAGUUCAAGGACUUCGGCCAAAAGACAGCAUGAGGAGUCGCCACCACCUCCGUUUAAAGAAUCGGAUAAGGUAAGAGAUGAUACUUCUAAAAUAAGCAUUAAACCUGUCAAUGAAAAAGAGGUAAAUUACCCUUAUAUCCCCAUCAGCUAUUAUUUCUUAAAUCUAAUUGAAAAAAGGCAUGAAGGCUUAAAGUCUUAUGACGCAGCUGAUUAUUAUAUUGAGUAUCAUUCAGCAGUUCCUUUUCUGCCAAAAGCAUAUGACUAUUAUCAGGCCAUCCUAGCAGAAACCGGAUCUGUAGACAUAGCACCCACUGAAAGAACUGGACACUAAUGGGCUUAUAGUAAAUUCAUUAUAAAAAGAAUAGUGAUCAGUGAAGAAUGGGGUGACUCUCUCUUUAAACAAAGAGAGCUGAAAUACGAUAAACCUAGGUGGUAUAGUUAUUUUGACUACAUACAAGCCUGGACUGGAGCACUACUGUAUGAGAAUCGACAGCGGAAAUUCAACUGGUUCAUACAAUUCCAACUGAAAAAAGGGGAUCAGGAAUUUCCUCCCUGGUUCCAUGAAUGGUUUUUUAAUUGGGGAAUAUUUCCAAUCAUUUUACCUAAUAAGGUACAUACUGUUUAUGAACAGUUCACUAAUCCCUGGUUAAUGUUCACAGUCCUAAGCUUCCAUGGAUA